rnacentral:rRNA from 1 species
UACAGAGGGUGCGAGCGUUAAUCGGAAUUACUGGGCGUAAAGCGCACGUAGUCGGCUUUGCAAGUCGGGUGUGAAAUCCCCGGGCUCAACCUGGGAACUGCAUCCGAGACUGCAUUGCUAGAGUAUGGGAGAGGGAAGCGGAAUUUCUGGUGUAGCAGUGAAAUGCGUAAAUAUCAGAAGGAACAUCAGUGGCGAAGGCGGCUUCCUGGACCAAUACUGACGAUCAGGUGCGAAAGCGUGGGGAGCAAACAGG